UCAGUGUCAGGUUGUCUGUAGUCUUUUGCGCCAUGGGUCCAUGUUCCACGUAUCCACGUAUCUACAUAUCCAUGCAUCCAUGCAUCCAUGCAUCCAUGCAUCCAUGCAUCCAUGCAUCCAUGCAUCCAUGCCAAGUUUCAUGCUUUGGGUUUUUAAUGUUUGUCUUUAGUUUCCCAGUUUAGGUUACUGUUUAUUCUCGUCUUUGUUUAUCUUAUGCAUUACUUUGUAUUUCUUCAUCAGCCACAUUAAACGGCUCGCUUUUUGUUAAUACUCAAGUUUUGGUUCCACGUUCCUUUGUGCCUGCAUUUUGGGUCCACUCUUCACAAAUUCACACAGUCUGCUUCGGCACACUGUGACAGUGGGUGUUGGCUUUAUCAGUUGGGAAAACUGUAAAAGCUAUGACUUUAUAGGAAAAAGUCCAAAAUCGUUGCCCUCUGUCACAUUUUUCAAAGCUGUCUCGAGGGCCGGAUUGGAGUCUUUGGUGGGGAUGAUUCUGGCCGCCAGGCCUCAUGUUCGACCCCCUGGGUGAGAUAACUUAAGAUUUUUUAGCAAAUUUUAACCUUCUGAGCCUCUAGGCUGCUGAUGUAUAACUAGUUAAUAGCCAAGGACUGAUGUACUCUGUCUUAGUUUGUUAAAGUUUUCCUGUUCUGGUCUAAUUGUCCUUCAGUGGUUGUUUACAGCUCCCAAUCCAGUAUAAAGACUCAGAGAGGAGGACAGACAGCAAAAAGAAGCAGGCAGCGAUGGACAUGUGGUCAGUGUUAGCACCACAGUGUAAAGCCAAGGUAGCUUCUGUUUGACCACAUUCACCCUUAAAUGUUUCACAUGACUGGACAGUGUGUUAUACUGUUAUCAAAUGUGUGGCCACAGCCUACUAAUGUAAUAAUAACUGAAAUUACUGUUGUGCUAUUUGAAUACGAUGUGUCUGUGUGUGAAUGUCAGAACACAGAAUUUUAACAUCCAUUUCUUACAUGUUUUAUGUAGCACGUUUAAAAAUGUCAGUGGACACUCAUUAGUGAGAAUUUUAGCAUUUAACAGGACUCACUGAACAUGGCUUGAACAUGACGGCUGGCACUACACGGACUGGUGUGCGCGAUGACGUGUGGUGAGUCUGCACUGUAAUGGAUAUAAUACAUGAAUUUGAAAACCUUGGAAAAGCAGCUCUCUUACCAGUUUCUUCUAGUGCAGGUGUGUGAGGUGGCAGUGUAAUUGUUAUGUCUGUACUGAAUAAUGCUACUCUAACUGCUUGAUGAUUCGGUGGAUGAGGUUAGGAGACCAAAACAAUCCUGUGCAUAUUUCUCCUCUUAUCUGCAACAGCACAGAUAGCUCUUCAGCUUACUUCUGAACAAUCAUCAUGAUUGAUCCUUUGCCUCAGGUUUCAUACCUAAAGGGUCCACCGUAAAACUGCUGUAUUAUAUUGAAAUCUGUGUUAUUCUUCUGAAUUAUCCUACAAUGGUUGUUCUUGAAAGCAUCAUUGUGACGUGUAUGCAGUUGAAUUGAGAGUUACAAAGGUGAAAAGGGGCUGGUAGAAGUUUGAUCCUACAAUCGCCCCUGUUUCUCUGUUUCUGAUUAUCAUGUGUGGAUUUCUUUUUUAACGUAUUCAUAAUGCUGGGUUGAUGCUGUCACUGUCCUUUUUUCUUUCUAAUCUUGUCCAGGCUAUCCUGAGUCUGAGCGACUCAGCACCUUCACUGCAGGCACAUGUGUGUACUAAUGUGUAUAAUGCUGUGGUAACUUAUGAGCAGGAUAUUGCAAAUCCCUGUAAAAUCCAGGAUAACAGAGACUCUAAAUGGGAUUCAAAUCUGGGCUUUGACUAGACUCUUUCAUAACCAUUUCUUCUUUUUGAGCCAUUCCUCAGUGGAUUUGCUGUGCUUAGGACCAUUAUCCUAUUAAAAAGGUCCACUUCCGGUCCCAUACAAGCUUUUCUGUUGAAGAAAUUGGUCAUUAUUUAUGAAUGAGCCUCCAAAUGUCGCACUUCAAUUGUAAUUUUAUGGGUAUGAUGGUGUGAUAAAUGUAGAGCAAUACUUACUUUUUCAAUGUGACUUUGGUUUUUAUUUAAAUUAUGACAAUGAAGAUGACGUGUCAUUAUCUUUACUGAGAGGCACUUUCACCUAGGGUCACUUUUUUGCUUGUUCAGAUACAUAAAAAUCACAAUAAUUAGCACAAGCUUAAUUUGAAAAAGUUCUCAGUAUGAGCGACAUACUGUAAAAAUACUGGAAAUAGAUUUGCUCUCUUGUCCUUACCACAGAGGGUAGCUCCGCAUGUUUGAUUUGGCAGUUGGAGUUUUACACCGGAUGCCCUUCCUGAUGUAACCCCAAAGGGGAUAUUUGCCUCAGACCAUAACUUUAAAUAAAGAUAGAUGUUUAUAUGCUGC
ensembl:lncRNA